GCCUGAUUAAAGUCGUAGUAGCUGAAGGUGUGUGGGCUGAAGACACUACGCCGCAGAAUUCUUGCAGUGAUAUCCAGGCGCUGAGACGAUUGCACUCCAAUGCUGUCAGGCUUGCUGACUAUUCCAGCAACUUUUGUUUUUGCUCCUGAUACACACCAUCCAAAAUUCUUCAGGAGGAGUUCGAUAUAGUUCUGAGGACCAAAGAGAUAAAAUGAUGUGGGGUCCCUGAGCUGGAUGAUCAGCCGAGAUUAAUUUGAAGAUCAGAACAGGCAAGAAAGGAUGAGUGGACGAUUCUUACUCCAAUGUUUGAAGUUUCCACCAUUACCAGAGAAAUGGAAAGGAGUGACGAGGAUAAAGUGAGAGCUGGGAAUAACAGCACAAUGUAUAAAUCACUGCGAAUGGAGAAAUGGGAUAAAGACCUGGGAUGGAUUCAGAGAAUGAGUACAGAACAGAAAGCUGCUGUUCUGCACCAUAUCUGCCACAGUAAUGAGGCACACCAAGGUCCAUCAACUAUCUACAAUCUGCGUUUACAAGGCUAUGGGAUGGUUAUGGAGGAACAAGUUGAGAUGCAAAACAGGGCAGGAGAUCAUCCAUCACCGCCCUCACCCUCAACCCUUACGGAUUACAGAGGUUCAUCUUGGUCUGUCCCACUCUUUGGCGGGACUGGGUCCAGCUUCACGAAGUUGCCAGCUGAUAGUCAGUUGUGUAAACUUGGCCGGGUUGGAAUGUUUCAAGGAGCAGAUCAUGGGCGGUAUCGGAGCAGGCACCUUCUCUGCUCCUCUUCAUCCUCCUGUUGUGGCUCUUUUACUGGGGCUCUGUUGGUGACUGUUUCUAAACUCUUAUCUCCACAUCCUCGUAUUGUACGUAUAGGUGGCUAUGGUGAGCCCUCGAAUUUUUAAAAGGUCAAUGUCUUAUCAGUGUUACUUAUGCAUUUCUUGUAACAUUUUUUAAAAUUCAAAUAGAACCGCUAAAUCCAUUUUGCCCCUCCAGUUGUUUUUACAUAAAACUCCAUUCUUGGAUGUGAACAAAUUUAAGUAGCGUCAAACAGGAAAUAUUGCCAAACCGCAGCAGUCUGUUGACCAAGUAGGAGGAGACCAUGUGAACCACGAGAAUCCCUAUGCUUUCUUUCUGAGAAUUCUCACGCUGAGAUGAGGAAUGAACGCAGAUAGUUGUAGAAGUCAAGAAACACAAUUGACAUUUGUGUUGCAUUAUCACUAUAAUGAAAUGUUCACUAGAAUUUCUCAGAUAUUAUAUUACAAGAUUUAUCACAAAGAGACAUAAUACUGAUGAUCAAGAGUGUUGCAAAAUGUAUCAGCUUGAAGGGCAAUUUUGAAAAGGAGAGAGUCAGAGAUGUUUGAAGCGGGAACUACAGAACUUGAGGCCAAUUAUUGAGGUUAUUAAUGGAUGGAAAAGGACAAUUUCAGAUGCUGCCAGGAUUGCUGAGUACUUACCGCACUUUCUUUCUGCAUCUGUUCUUAGUUCUGAGGACUCAAGGGAUCAAAUUGUUUGAGGAUAAAGGUCCUUCACUCGCAAAUCUCCAACCUCAGUAGUUCGCUGCAUACAGUGACUGAUUUUAACGGUAGUCAACUAUUUUAUGUGGUAACUUUUCUCCCAAGUCUUGACUUCACAAUUGACCAGAUUAAUUUCUCUCAAUUUAAAAACCUGCGUAUCUUCUCUUUUCUCCGUUCUUUUCCUGUUUUGAAAGAUUGAUUUGCAACUUGAGGUGCAGAUGAAACCAUAUCCAGAUCUGACAGCCACUCUCUUCAUCAUAACCAAAUUGUCAAAGUUUUUGAACAUUGAAGAAAAAAAUACCACUCAUACUGGAGAGGAACACACUUUCUCUCUGUGUGGAAGUGUCUGUGAAGAUUCAUCUAAAAGGUCAAAACACCAAAGCAGUCAUAUUAGAGACAGUGUGGAAAUGUGGGGAUUGUGGGAAGUCUUUUUUUAAAAGAAUCAUCACAGCUGAAAGCUCACCAACUCAUUCUCUUAAAAAAUUGUGUUGAGUAAUCGUGAAUUGGAAGGCAGGAAGCGAGAAUUUGUUUGUAAAAUAACAAUCAGGGACAAGAUUGUAUGGUACCUUUAAGGGAUAGUCCUUUUCUAAGCUUAGGGAUUUAUACUGAGAGAGAAAAUUAAGUGUCUGCAUAUAGCUGAAGGUGUACAGCCCGUUCUAAAAUUGAAACACGUAUCAAUUGGCUGUGUGAACGGAAACCUUGAAAUGGUGUUUUGGCAAUGAGCUGGAAUCAGCCAAUUUGUCUAAUCCAAGCAUUAGCAAUUCAAAGACAAUUGAAUUUAAACCUGGUGGUUUUGAUAGUUUAGCAUGAAUGCUAUUGUAAUAAAAGUGACAUGUCAUCCCAGUAGAUAAAGAGAGAUUUUGAAAAUCAGUGUGAGAAUGAAUGGUCAUCUGAGAAGUAAUCAUCUAUCUCUCACGAGCAAUCACUGAGGUCUCUAAGAAAGCACCUGUAUCCAUAAAAGUCACCAUGGUAUUUCUAGUUAAGAGCCCUCACAAAGGACUUCACAGAGAAAACAUCCCUGACACCCGGAUCCGUGGAAUAAAGGCAUUUAUGACGUGAGAGCAGCAGAAAUAAAGCGCGUAGACUUUGAGAGACUAAGAUUUUAUUUUCUUGUCUUACUACUUGGGUUAUAUAAGUGGGACUUCUGUUUAUUGGAAUAGCAUACCAGUAGAACUUAGUCCAUUUA